CGCGUCGUUGUUAAUACACUUUAAGUUUUACAAAUAACGCAAGAAGAACUACACACGUGUCAUGGAAGGCUACUCAUGAAGUUAACCGACACUUCUAGUAAAGUUGUUGCGCAAUUUAUUAAUUAUCAUUCUAGUGAAUUACUUGUGCCGUUUGUGAAAACUUUAACAUCACCUAACUAGGUAUAAUGAGUUAGUUUAGAAUAUUUCUUAUAACUAAGGCAAUUAUAGUCAAUCGAUAUAUUAUAUCAGAUAUACGUAAGUCUGCAUCAAAUAACAGAAGUGUGUCCCGCCACAAACACCUAUUUGAAAUCUUAAGACAUUUUUUCAUAUUAUUAUUUUAAAGAAGUUUAGUUAGUAAAUGCUUUAAUUUAAGACUUUAGAACAAUUAGAUACUGAUUUCUAUGAAUUGAUUUUUAAAAUUGUAAAAGUUUGUUGUUUUCCUCGCAAGCAAUUUAACACUUAAUGUUAUUAAAAAAUUCCUUAUGUCAAAUAUAACAUGUAGAUACUAUGAGAGCACUUAAUAUUAAUGUGUAAGUGGAUGACGCAAUAGGGGUCAGACACUCAAGGUGAGGGCCGGUGGGGAGUGUCGCGAAACAGCUCUUUUGUCUCCCCAACCUGGUAACACUAAGAUAAUCAUUUUUUUUAUAAAUGAAAAAUUGUCUUCGUCCGCUUUUAGCUAGACAUUCUUCAUUUUUAUAAGUACAGUGGAUAAAUAGCUCACGUAAACAAGCUAAACUAUUUGUCUAACACGUACUUACUAAAAACUAGAAUAAUUUACAUAGAUUAAAAGUAGAAUGUGGUUUCAAAAAGAUAAGCGUAAUAAAAAGUUUUAAGGGAAAAUUUUAUAGCAAGUAAUUGAGAAAGAAAUAAUGUCCCAUUUUUAUUAACAGCGAGUAGUCAUGUACUAACUCGCACUUGUACUAAAUGGAGGUCAUGCCAUGUAAAGCACAAGAUAAUAUUGUCGCAAUAUAAUUUAUUUAAAUAGCAGGAAGGGCACGGGGCAGAUAUUUUACAAGAAUGGAAUUAGUGAUAUUAAUAUAAUUGGAAUGGACAUGUUAAGGAAUCUCUUUACAAAAUCAAAUUAAUGUGACCACUCGACAAAUACCGGAGCGUGAAGACAGUCCAGCUAGUGAUUUAUGGGAUCUAAGACUUCCGAAAUUCUAAUUUAUCGAAAGUGCAUCUACGUAGAAUACUUAUGACUUCUACAAGCUUUUGGUUUCUAAAAAAUUGUUAUUCCCGUAAGACUUAAUCCUCCCUAAAACGAGAUGACAAAGUUCAGUCUAUGGAAUUUUAUAAAACGAAUCCCGAAAUAAAUCUACUGUAUGAUCUUUACUGUCAUGGAACGGUAGGAACUGUGCAUUUUAAGAAAAUAGUUUUUUGGACCUCUUUAUCUCGAAAGGUAUUUUUAGGAAAUAUAUGUAUAUAUUAUGAAAAAAAGUUUUCAUUAGAUAACUAUAACAAUAUGUUCAAACAUAUCGUAAAGCUGGAAAGUGAGCCGAUAACUUCAACAAAUCAAGUGAAUUUUUUAUUGCAGAUGUCACUGUUUUGUGAACUUAUUAGAUUUAAUUUAUAAUUAAAAUGGCCCUUUUCUUGUAUUAGAGGCUUGGGACACAGUCUUUUAAAAGUUAAGGGUUCUCCUAUAUGUACAACGACCACAUUUCAACUAGUGAGCUUAAAAAGUAUCAUUCAAAAAUUUACCUAUAAAUGUUCUAGCAAUAAACCAUAAAGGUCUUUUAAAUUUUCAGGUUCGUCGUAUUAAUUAGUUCAACUUUUCCAUAUCAUCUAUUAUAGUUAGUCAUUACAUUUAUUACAUAGCAACUAAGAAUAAAAUUGAAUGUUUGUGUUUAUCUGAACAUUUGAGAAAGCCUUUGUAAUAUAAUGUUUUCUAUUAACUAUUUCUGUACAACCUGUAAGUUGAAGGCCACUAGAUAGCAUCGUUAUUAUUUUAGUAAUUCUUUUUUUUGAAAUUGUUUUUCGACAAGUAAUUUGAAUAACUUAUUUACUUUAUUAUUAUUAUUAAAAAUGGAAUUCUAAAUCGUUAAUAACUAAUUAACUCAACGUUUCUUCCUUUUUAAAUGUUUAUUAAGUUUACACUUUGAAAAAUAAAUUAUUAUACUAUUUCCUGAAAAAGACUUCAUCAUAGGUAAUUUUGGAAUCAUCUUUGAGCCUUUCGUGUCAUUAUUACGCCUAUAUCCGUAAAUUGACAUAGUAUAUCCGUAAAUUUCAAGUGAUUCUUCAAGUGGUAGUUAGCUUUUAAGUUGUAUAUUAAUAAGAAAUAAUUUGCGAGACAUGUGAAAGGAAUUAAAAUGCAAGAAGAGUGUAGGAUUGCUGGAAAUGCACCCGAAAAGCAAUGUGUGAGAAUAUACAAUGAUUACUGGUAGGUUCUCCAACGAUGAGUCUUUGCAGAGGUUUAAUAAUGAUAUGGAGUGACAGUAUCUUUGUUGCUCUUUCAUAAUUGGGAAUCAUGCAUAACGCUAAAAACGACCAGAUUAAACAAUUUAAAGAAUAUGUUGUGCGCUUUGAAGGGUUUACUUGUAAUGAUUGGAGUGGAUUAAAGUCACAAACAGACGUCGCAAAUAUCAUGAAUGGGUACCUUUAGGGGAUAGGCUUUAAAAAAAUUACAGUGAUCAGAUAUCAGCCUCAUACUUCAACCCAAUAGAACUGAUUUGGAAUAAGCUUAACACUAAUUAAGACAGAUUUUAACCCAACACAAACCGUUAACAUUUCGAAGUUUCGCCUGGCGGGACAUAUCACAUAGAGAUCUAUCGUGUGUUCACAAGCAUGCCAGAUGUAGGUGGUAGCGUCCGAUUACUCCCCGGUAGGAAGGAGGUCUCUUUACGAUAUUCUUAGAUCUUUAUGGUGAAAUAACGACUGACAUCACAGACACGAAUGCCCCAAAAUGACACCACAACAUACCCACAUCGCCUACGCUGGCGAAGACAAGGUCCGACUACGUAAUCACCACUGUCGUUGGCAGAAUUAUGUUGCGAGUAGUCACCCUUCUUCAUUAAGGUACCCUUAGGAAAGAGUGUACCCCUUCGGAUCCUCUAGGCUCUAAGCCCGUAUCUCGAGGGUAGAUCCUUUUGGAUCCUUCCCCUGUGACGUUCUCAAAGCGAAUAAGUCUAAUGACAACUGUUGAUACUAGAGAUUAGAGCAAAAGGGCUCAUUAUUAAACAAUGCAAAAACAAAACUGCGAGAUUUUAAUUUUCAAUGUCUCCGUAUGUAAUUAUGGAUAUCGGUGUUAUUUUACUUAAAUUACAUAAUUCUUGAAAAAUCUUUAUUUGUAGAAAAAGACAAUUGCAUAAAUUUAGAGCAGAAUUAAGCUCUAUUUUUAGGGUCCAAUAAAAAACUGAAGUUAUGAAAAAAUUUAUAUUUGGCUGAAUUUCUUAAACUGUUGGUGUAGUUAAAAUAAACUAAAAAAAUCAAUUGUUUCUUUUAUAUUUUAUAAAAGUUAUUAAAUACAUAUAUUUUAUUAAAUUUUUUAAUCACGUCAUGGAGAUGAACCAUAUACAGCCAUUUACAUCACCAUACCUAAAAAAGAAAAAAGGAUUUUAUAGUUUGUUGAAUACAUAUGUCCAUUGUGUACAGUACAAGUAAUCACAAUUCAGAAGUGUGUAUUGCUGAUUUCAUCCUCAAUCAAAGAGAUUCCCACAAAAACAUGUCAUCAUAGUAUUUUUAUUAAACUAAAAUUGUUAAGUAACAUAUGAAAAUAAUUCAGAGUACUUUAUAACUUAAUAACAAUGUAAAAUAAAUUGAUUCUUACCAAACAAGGUUUAUUUGUGUGACAUAUUCCUCCCUGGUUGUUGGAACUAUUCUGAAAAAUAAAUACCGAGGCGUUAAAUGUAGGUACAUAUAUGUCGCUUUACAUCUAUAAUUACUGCAUGCUGAAAGUGUAUAGAACCUCAUUAUUUUGUAUGAAUUGUCAAUGAAAGAGUAAGGUUAAAUUUAAAACAAUAUAAGUAGAAAAAUAAUAAUUUGCAACUUCAUUGGAACCAAAACAAUAAAACCAAUAAAAAAAACAUCAAUGGUGGUGCAAGUUACUUAAUACAAUCUUAAAUAUGUGUAUCUUAGGUUCAUUACAGGUGCACGACAAGGUCUUCUGUAUUCCAGACUCCUCGGCAGGCUAUGUAGAUUCCUUAGUUGUCUACCAAUAACUCUUUUUGUUUGCUACAACGGCUAUAAUUUUAUAAAAUUACUAUUUAACUUAAAAAAUAAAACAUACCUGAAUUAGCACAUUUUAAGCUUCAGGCUGAAACAAGUGUUUUAAUAAAACAAUUUAUCUUUUAUUAUUUUUUUUUAUUCUUAGAAAAUAUUGUACAUAUGCUUAUAUGAUUCCAAUCUUAUUGGCAACGUCUAACGCGUCGUAGUCUCUUGCGAGUCGUACAUACGCCUUCUUUUUG